GUGGGGAAUAUUGGACAAUGGGCGAAAGCCUGAUCCAGCCAUGCCGCGUGUGUGAAGAAGGUCUUCGGAUUGUAAAGCACUUUAAGUUGGGAGGAAGGGCAGUAAGUUAAUACCUUGCUGUUUUGACGUUACCGACAGAAUAAGCACCGGCUAACUUCGUGCCAGCAGCCGCGGUAAUACGAAGGGUGCAAGCGUUAAUCGGAAUUACUGGGCGUAAAGCGCGCGUAGGUGGUUCAGCAAGUUGAAGGUGAAAUCCCCGGGCUCAACCUGGGAACUGCCUCCAAAACUACUGAGCUAGAGUACGGUAGAGGGUAGUGGAAUUUCCUGUGUAGCGGUGAAAUGCGUAGAUAUAGGAAGGAACACCAGUGGCGAAGGCGACUACCUGGACUGAUACUGACACUGAGGUGCGAAAGCGUGGGGAGCAAACAGGAUUAGAAACCCCGGUAGUCC
rnacentral:rRNA from 1 species